rnacentral:rRNA from 1 species
CUAUGCGCCUUGCCAGCCCGCCUCAGAAACUUAAAGGAAGUUGACGGGGGCCCGGCACAAGCGGAGGAACAUGUGGUUUAAUUCGAUGAUACGCGAGGAACCUUACCUGGGCGUAAAUGGGGAGUGACAGCUGUCGAAAGAUGGUUUUCUUCGGACACUCUUCAAGGUGCUGCAUGGUUGUCGUCAGCUCGUGCCGUGAGGUGUCGGGUUAAGUCCCAUAACGAGCGCAACCCUUACCGUUAGUUACCAUCAGGUUAAGCUGGGGACUCUAGCGGGACUGCCACCGUAAGGUGAGAGGAAGGUGGGGAUGACGUCAAAUCAGCACGGCCCUUAUGUCCAGGGCUACACACGUGUUACAAUGGCCGGUACAAAGGGCAGCUACUUCGCGAGAAGAUGCUAAUCUCGAAAGCCGGUCUCAGUUCGGAUCGAAGUCUGCAACCCGACUUCGUGAAGCUGGAUUCGCUAGUAAUCGCGCAUCAGCCAUGGCGCGGUGAAUACGUUCCCGGGCCUU